rnacentral:lncRNA from 10 species
CGGGAUUCAAGCCGGUGGGCGGUGCCGUGGAACGGUGCGCCAAGACGUCAACGUGCUCGCUGUGCGUCGGCACGCAGGUCCCGCCUCCUGAGGACGGUGUCCAGCCAGCACAGAGACUGCACUCAAGGGAUGUGGGAACGGCUGAUUGAACGUGAACUGCGGUCAUUAAAUCUUUUAUGUCUGUGUUAAUAUCUACAAAUAAGCCUUAAUUUCUGUAGUUUCUGCAUAUCUCACACGGUUCCUGGCAAAUUGAAGAGUGUUUCAUGAAUUCAGGACUUUAUUGUGUUUGCUGUGAAUCAGUUUGUUUUGUACUGACGAUGAUGUUGGCUAACUCCCUUGUAACUAGUACUUAUUUGAAAUAAUGUCCUCGGGAUUAUUUUAAGCAAUGUUUAAGUAUGAAAUCAUUUCAUUCUCCUAACAUCUCAAGGAAUAUACUAUUAUAUUCUACUUUACAAAAGGGGAAACUGAGGAACGGGGAAGUUAAGUGGAAGCUAAGUGGAAGAAUCCAGAUAAUUGACCUCUCCUUCUAUUGGUAUGCAAUUGCUAGAGCAAUGAUAGUCCUCCGGUAGAGCCUUAGACAUUGUGUUUAUUGCAUUCCUGUUCCACCCACUGCAUUCCGGAUACUCCAACUUACUUCCAACACACAUAUGCAGGCGUCUCUAAAAUUCCGGAGAUAUGGUCACCAAUUAUUUUUAUGUGCGACAUGCUCAAAUCUUAAUAUAGUAAACGCUUGUAUAUUCAUAAACCAGCUUAAUAAAUGAAACAUUACCAUUCCUGUUGAAGAGCUUUGUGUAACCACCUUCCCAAUCACGACUACUCUCUGACUCUGAGAUAACUGCUCUUCUGAACUUGGUAUUCAUCGUUGCAAUGUAUGUCUUUAUAUUUCUGCUACAUAUUAUGUGUGGAUAUUUCAAGUGGCGUGAACUCACAGAAGAAUAUUGUAUCUUGGACAAUGUUACCAUAACCUUUUCAAACGUAUUUGCAAACUUGACAAACUUGGUGUAAGCUUUUUCACUUUUGAAAACGUUUUGAACUUGUGGAAGAAUUUCUAUGGGGAAAGAGAGAAAUAUACUUUGGAAUUCAACUAUUGCUAUCACAGUGUUGGGAAAUUCACUGACACCAGUUUGUAACUUGAAUCUACAGGAAGAAAUGAAGAGAGCCAAAAAUGACAACAAAUGGAUUAACCCAACGAACUCCAUAAAUAUUUAUUUUUUCCCCUUUCUUUUCUCAGCUUCUUUAAAAGAUGUAAGAUGAUAUAAAGUAAUAAUAAUAACAAUGUACUGUUGGAUAUGUAAGAUAUAUAAAUGUAAUAAUGGCAAAAAUGGUGGGAGGGCGUCAGGCGUCAUGGCUCAUGCCUGUAAUCUCAGAACUUUGGGAGGCUGAGGCAGGCAGAACACUUGAGCCCAGGAGUUCAAGACCAGCCUAAGCAACAUGGGGAGACCCUGUCUUUCCAAAAAUACAAAAAUUAGCCCAACAUGGUGGCGUACACCAGUAGUCUCAGCUACUUGGGAGGUGGGAGGAUUGCUUGAGCCUAGGAGGUUGAGGCUGCAGUGAGCCAUGAUUGUGCCACUGCACUCCAACCUGGGUGACAGAGUGAGAUCUUGUCUUUAAAAAAAAAAUGGUGGGAGAGAAUGGAGCCAUAUAGAAUACAGUUUCUAUAUUUCACUGGAAUGAAGUUAGUAUAAAUCUAAAGUAGAUUCUGAUAAGAUGAAUACCAUAAGCUUUAGGGCAACUAUUAACUAAAGAAAUACAAUUAGAGAUUAUUAACACAAUUACAUGUUACACUAGAAAAUAUCCACUCAAUAUAAAAGGAAACAGGAAAGGAAGAAUACAGGAACAAUAAUAAAGAAACCUGUAGAAAACAAAAGGCAAAUGACAGACAUAAAUCCUACCAUAUCAAUAGCAAAAUUAAAUGUGAAUGCAUAAACAAUUGAAUCAAAAUGCAGAUAUUGUCAAACUGGAUUUUUAAAAGAUCAAAAUAUAUGUUAUCUGUAGAAGACACACAUUACAUUCAAAGAUACAAAUAUAUUCUAAGUAAAAGGGUGAAAAAAUAUAUAUCAGGCAAGUGGCCAAAAUAAGAAUGCUGGAAUUGCUAUACUAAUACCAGAAAAACAUAGAUUUUAAAAUGAAAAAUAUUAUUAGCUAUAAAGAGGAACAUUUUAUAAUUAAAGAAGAUCACUCCAUCAGGAAACACAAAAAUUGUAAACAUAUAUGCACAUAAUAAGACAGUACCAAAAUACAUGAAGACCACUAACAGAAUAGAAGGAUGAAAUAGAUAAUUCAAUAUUAGUUGAGGACGUCAAUAUACCACCGUUAGGGCUAGGCAUGGUAGCUCACACCUGUAAUCCCAGAGAUGUGAAAGGCCGAGAUGGGAGGGUUGCUUGAGGUCAGGAUUUGGAGACCAACCUGGGCAAUAUAGUGUCAUCUCAUCUCUUAAAAAAAAAAAAAAAGCCAGGUGUGGUGGUGUGUACCUGUAGUCCUAGCUAGUAGGAAGGCUGAGGCAGGAAGAUUACUUGAGCCCAGGAGUUCAAGGCUGCCACUACACACCAGCCGGAGUGACAGAAUGUGACCCUGUCUCUAAAUAAAUAAAUAAAAUAAAAAUUAAAAAUACACCGCUGUAAAUAGAUGAUAGAUCAAGUAGGCAGAAGAUUAACAAGGUUAUAAAAGACUUGAACAACACAAUAAAUUAACUAGACCUAGCAAACAUUUAUAGAACGCUCAACCCAACAAUAGCAAAAUAUUCUUCUCAAGUGCAUAUAAAACUUUCUCCAGGAUAGAUCAUAUGCUAGGUCUUUAAAAAAGAUAUUGAAACCCUCAUACAUUGCUGGUGGAAAUGUAAAAUGGUGCAGCCAUUUUGCAGGACAGUUUGAGGGUUCCUCAAAAUGUUAAACAUAGACUUACCCUGACCCAUCAUUUCAACAGCUGGAUGUAUACUCAAGAAAAAUAAAAACCUGUGUCCACACAAAAACAUAUACAAAGAUGUUCAUGGAAGUGUAUUUAUAAUACCAAAAAGUGGAAAUAACCCAAGUGUCAAUCUACUGAUGAAUAAACAAAAUCUAUCAAUGAAAUAUUAUUCAGCCAUAAAAAGAAAAUAAAGUGUUGAUAUAAGUGACAGCAUGGAUGACUCAUGAAAGCAUUAUGCAAAGUAAAAGAAGUCACUCACUGAAGAACAUGCUAUAUGAUUCCAUGUAUAUGAAAUGCCCAGAAUAAGCAAAUUUCUAGAGACAAAAAGUAGAUGAGUGGUUGUCUAGGGCUGAGAAGGUUCCUGAGAAUGGGGAAUGAGUGUAAUGUUUUUCUUUAGGAGGAGGAUAAAAAUCUUCUAAAAUUGGAUUAUGGUAGUGGUUGCACAGCUUUGUGGAUAUAGUAAAAACCAUUGAAUUGUAUAUAUUAAAUAAAUAUAAUUAAGGUAUGUGAAUUAUAAUUCAAUAAAACUGUUAAAAUUACAAAUUUUGUGCUUUUCAAUUGGAAAAUUCAUCCAAAAUUACAAAUUCUUAAAAGAAUGCAACCUAGCUAGGAGUGGUGGUGGGCACCUGUAGUCCCAGCAACUUGGGAGGCUGAGGUGGGAGAAUCACCUGAGGCCAGG